UUCUGUGUUAUUUUUCUCCAUCUCUGCCUGUCUUGUUGUACAUGGAAUCUGUCUCACAUGCAUGAAUUUAAAAAAAAACUUACGAUGUCAGCUGCUAAUUUUCAGAUUUACAGCCAUUUUCACUGGACUAUCUGUUGCUGCUAAGUCAUGGGUUAGCCUUGCAAUAACCAAGUGGUGAGAAACACAGCCCUCUAUAUUUAAAUGUUUCAGGUACACUUUGAAAGGAGAUACUGUAUGUGACGCAGACACCUAUUGGCAUUAUCUUCUAUUGUUUGUCCUCAUGGGUCUGUUUUUCAGCUUAAAGUACUCUGUAGCCACUCACGUCAUCCCUCUCCCCCUAAAUCCUCUAGGUUAUAUCAGCUGUUUUGUUGAACCUCUCCCGCAUCUGAACUGGCUGACAGAGGGCACAGCCUGAUCAUAGGUAUGUUUUGAUGUGAGAGGAAUCCAGUCCCGACAGCGCAAUUGUGAUGAACUGAGAGAAUAUUAGGGUAGCACUGUCAUUCAUGAAUCAUAUGCUAUCUGCCGCUGUUCUUUCCUCUCUACCCACCUCAUCUUCUAAUGCACACCAUAUGUGCAUUGAAGUACAGAUUUGCCUACCAUUUUUUUUUUAACUAGGCAAGUCAGAUAAGAAUGACGGCCUAAGAACUGCCUUGUUCAGGGACAGAAGGACAGACCUUGUCGGCUCGGGGAUUCGAUCUUGCAACCUUCCGGUUACUAGUCCACCUGCCCGCCCAAGAUUGAACUUGUAUUUAUAAUAUUACAAUUAAAAUGCACUUCUUUCAAUAAAGCGUUUCACAUUCUCCACUGGUUGAAAUACUA